rnacentral:misc_RNA from 1 species
GAUGAAGAACGUAGCGAAAUGCGAUAAGUAAUGCGAAUUGCAGAAUUUCCGUGAGUCAUCGAAUCUUUGAACGCACAUUGCGCCUCUCGGUAUUCCGGGAGGCACGCCUGUUCGAGCGCCAUUACACACCCCAAGCACUGCUUGAUGUUGGACGACGUCUGUGACAGGACGGGUCUGGAACGCGUUGGCGCCGCCGGCGGACCACGAGCGUAGCAAGACGCAAGUCAUCGCUUCGUUGGCUCCGGACGGAGGGCAGCCUCUUGGCUUCUGGUAACGCAGGAGCCGACAACCCAUCGAGUUUGGCCUCGGAUCAGGCGGGGAUACCCGCUGAACUUAAGCAUAUCAAUAAGCGGAGGA